GUCGGUGUGUCCGAGUGGUUAAGGAGACAGACUAGAAAUCUGUUGGGCUCUGCCCGCACAGGUUCAAACCCUGUCGCCGACG
rnacentral:tRNA from 1 species